ensembl:lncRNA
CUCUUUCAUUUAUUUAUUUCUUUAUAAUUUUCUGAAGGAAAAGCAUUGUUGGUACAAAGUCUGGGCACUGGGCAGUGGGGCGAAUAGACUGAAUACAGAAAGCACCGAAUUCUGAUCUUGGCCACCUCUUUUAUUGAUGUUCAGGUGGAAAUAAUCAUUCUAUGAUUCUAAUUUAUUAUUUUUCCUGAGUUUAUGAGUCCCUCAGUUAUGAGUAACUCAGAGGGACAGAGUAAAACAUACUGAAGUUCCUCAAGAAGGACCGUUUAUGUCCCUCUGGUUCAACACUCGCUUGGAGGGUGGGGAAGUCCCAGCAUGCUGAAGCUUAAAAUAACAGCACGGUGAUGGAUGAGAAGACCAUUGCAGGUGCAUUUUAGAGAUUUUUGAAAUGUCUGAACGGUAACUCUUCUCUCCUUACAGGUCCUGGGCAGCCAGAUUCACCUGGCUUUUUAUGCAAAGGGAUAAAAGAAGCAAUACAUAUAAAUGAAUCAUUAAGGUUGGAAAAAAACACGAAGGUCAUCAAGUCAACCCAUCCUCACCGUGCCCACUAACCAUGUCUCUUAGCCACCUAAGGGCCACCUGUCCUGCACCAGCACAACGUGGGUAGGAUGAGCCCUGGAGAAACUUCCUGUUGCUUGGCACCAGCUCUGAAAUCUUCCCAUCGAUGAAGCCAUACAAUGAGCCACGCUUAAUGAAUCAGAAUGUUAAUCAUCACUCACAUCAAUUCAGCAGCCCUGCCUGGAUGAUAGCUGCCCCCCUCUACUACUCUGAAUUCCUCCCCCUCGUCAUCAUCACAUCUUCUGGCUCUCUCCUUCAUUAGUUUUUAUCUGAUGAUUGAAUACCACUGUUAGCCAAAAAUUAUCAGUGCUAGCAUGCAUGCACAGCACACUGCAAGGGAGCAUUGUAAAACACAAGGCAAUUCAUGCUACAAAGCUGUCACAAACUGAAGAAAUAUCUCCCUUGUUUUCUCUGAGGCUGAAUGAAUGAAGCCUCAGCCCUGCUGCUGUACAACACUAAGCUCCUGUGGAAAGAAAAGCAUAACAUCCAGGCACAAUGGAAGAAAAAGCAGAUUCUUCAUGAUUAACAUAGGCAAUUUAACUGGAAGAAUUAUAAAAUAUCCCAAGUUGGAAGAGACCGAAAGGAUUUCAAAUCCAGCUCCUGGCUCCACACAGGACACCCAAAAAUCAGACCAUCUGUCUGGGAAGAGGAACAUCAGCUCAUGGAACUGACAUUUUGGAGAAUGGUUUCUUCUCGCUGCGUUUUUAGAUGAGUUGCAGUCAGUUUGUGCUGUAUAAGCCAUAUUAGGAGUAGGUUCCCACAGUGAAGCCAUGUCCAGCCCUGCCAGGCAGAAGGGGAAGAUGCUUUCAGCUUCUUUGCCUUCUCUUCAUGACAUCCCACCCUGAAUGCAUCUUUAGGCAUCUCUAAUGAGAUCUAGAAUGAGUCAUUAAUUUCUAAUUAAUUAACCUUUGUCAUGGCCUGCAGCAUUCUUAAUGUUGUUUUGUAAGAGUAUCCACUGUCACUCCGUGAUGGGCAUCUCCAUCAAGCCAGAAAAUCCCCUAUGGAAAUACCCUAAGGAUGAACAGAGCCCCAUACCCAAAAUCUGUGCUCAAAAGUAGAUUGCUCUGAGCCUUGUUUUGCACACAAAAAUGGUAGGGGUGGUAUUUUAACGUGUUUUCUUCUCAUGAGUUGAUGUUCCCAACAAGCAUGGUUGGUUGCUCUGGAUGUGUGCCCCAAGGCAACUCAGCCUGCCCAUCACUUCUCACUGUUUCUAACAGUUUGAAUUUGGAGCACCUGGCAUCAGUCACCGCAGGUAGAAGUGUUUGACACUGGAGCCUCCGGGUGGGCUCAGACAUGGUUAUUAGGAAAGAUUACAGAAAUGAUGACGCCAUUUAUUUACUGUUGGUGAAUGGCGUUGGCCAAGCUGGAGCACUGAUCUGUCUGUCACCUUACGUGCUGGGUUCCUGCUGAGCACUGGUGGGGUGCAGAACUGGGAUUCCAAUGGACUUUUGGAGAAGGAUUGGGCUUCUCGGGCUGCCCAUGGAGCUGCUGCACCCAUUGCAUUGCUUUGGCUGCUCAGCCCAGAUGCUAAGCAGAAAGGAAUAUGUUCAGUGUCCCAGGCACUGACAGCUCGACAUAUACACAGCAUAGAUAGCUUGCAAACUAGAUAAAGGAGUGACAACAUCUUCUUGAGAGAAAACACAGGGUUUCCCCCUCUGCGAUGCUUCAUCUCUGCUGUCUUCUGAUUUUGAUCUCCCAGGGCACACCACUCACAGCUGCCUUCCCGCUGUCCUGGGGCUUGCAGAGCCUUUUGGAGCAGUGUGGAGCCGCCCUCCUGCACACUAUUUGCUUAUCAUGGUUCCUGAUGGACAGUGUGCUUUGUGGGGUGGGGGAGGACUUUGGUUCCCUGCUGUCAUUGCUGGAGUUGUUGGUUAGCUGUGCCCCAGGCCACCCCUUGCCCCUUUCUCUAAGCAGCUUUUUACGCUGCGCAGCUCAAAGAGGUUGUAAAAUGCCUUUUCUCUGGCUUAGAGAGAGGGAGAGAAGAAAAUGCUUCUGGAUCUAAACCAACUAUUCAAACUCUUGCUUUCUGGCAUCCAAAGAAGUCCCAAGGGUUUGUUUUGCAAAGGAGAAAGUGCUGGAGAUUGAAAAGAGGUUACCUGUAAACUGUAGAGGUUAAAUACAGAGAAAGGUGCACACAGGGUUUAGGGCACCUUAAGAAUAAUGUUAAUUAUUUAAGACUGAGAGCACUGAAGGAUACGUCAGACAAGAGUUGGGAUGGAUUUGCACUGCCGCUGUGCUGCCAUUGAUUCCCACUCCCGGCCCAUUCGUGCUGCCAUGAGGCAGUCAGGGCAGCUUGGAAACCUCUGGUCUUCUUCAGAAUGUUUUUCAGUGGCCACAAACUGGGGACUGUGCAGCCCCUCAGGGACAACCCUGCCUGUGCCCAGCUGCUGAAUGCACGAAGAGAUUGGUGGAUGGGCACCAAAUCCUGCACCAAUGGCCAAGCCCAACCAAUGCAGUUUGAAGGUCACAUGUGGGCAUCCUCAGUCCUAAAACAGCUGUUUGGGGUUGAUGCUCGCAAGGCUUAGCAUUUCCAAAAGUGCCGAUGUGAUGCUCUGUCUCAGUGUGCCAUUAGCCCAUCAAGCAGUGUGCCACCUUCCUGACGAGGCACCAAACAGAGAGCAGGAAAGUUACUUGGAAAAUGCAUCACCAAUCUCCCCAUGAAGCCACAACCACGUACCCACUGUGAGGCUGUUGGCUUCCCGCAGUCUUCCCAUGGAAAAUGUCCUCACCUCCUGCUGCAGUUGGGCGGCAUCUCCAGAGGUUCACGGCGGGAGCUGCUUGUGUUUGGCUGGAGCACUGGGAAGGAUUUUGAUUCCAGGUUUUGCUCUGAUUUGCACCAGUGGCCACGUCCUAGCAGAGCGGCACUGCCACGGGCAAACAGAGCCCACAGCAGGGAGAAGAUCAUUGAGAAAGGAACGGGCUCUGCUGUAGGCAGCUCUAGGUUAAUAAGUGAGCUAUUCAUCUGAUAGGGACACGGGAGAAGUUUGCAGGUAUUCAGCCCCGCUACAGUUCAGCAAUACCGCUUUGCUUUAUCUCUCACCCAAGUAACACAAACAUUUAUGGAAUUACGUUUUAAGGCUUUUAAAGGUGUAUUUAGAACGUGUUUUCUUUGAAGCGUUAUCUUUGCAAGCUCUCAUGCGCUGAUAAAGGCCGUGUUUGGCUGCCUCUUGAGGAGCACUCGUGAGCUGUUGGCUCGGGGAGGUUUCUCCUCAGGGGCUGCAGGACAGCAGCGGUGGCAAUGCGGUGGGUGACAGCCUCGGGGACAGAGCAGAGAACAGAUGGGAAAUAAAGCCUUUGGUCUCAGCAUGAAAGUUGCCAUCAUCUCCUCCCUGGGAGAAGGGAAGGAGCGCGGCGAAGCGAAUGACCUCACUGCAGGAUGGUUCCACUUAGCAUCCCCGGCCCUCCUCCCGGCCCUGCCCAGCGAUGAAGACGUCGUCCCACAGCUCAUCACUCACAGCAGCGCAUACCCGCGCCUCGUCCCGCAGUCGGGGAUUUGACCCGGAGCUCCUCGAAAUCAAUGGAAAGGCUCCAG